UAAUUAAGAUUAGUCCUUAUACCAAACUCCACUGGUGGACUAGCUGGUCGAGGAUGUACCCUUAACAUGAUUCCAGGUGCACAUCAAAAAAUGUGAAAGCUCCUUCUGGACCAACUUGAUCUUGGAGAGAAGCAGCCUAAGCAUAAAAUGAACAGCACCAAUCUUGCACCCAAGGAACUGAACCACCUUGGAUAGAAUCAAGGCCGACUUCAUUAACAACAAAGCCUAAGUCCUUCAGAAGGCUGACCACCAGCCAAAUCUGUUCUAUUAGCAAGGAUGAUUUAAAUGAAAAGAGAAGGAUGUUGUCCAGAUAAAUUAUUGAACGCAUCCCCUGAGCACGAAAUUGAGCCACAGCUAGUUUUAAAAGCUUGUUGAAGCACCAAAUAACAGAACUCAGACCAAAAGAAAGGUACGUGAAUUGUGAAACGCACCUGCUCCACUAGAAGCAAAAUAACCUCAAAUAACCCUGAUGAAUCUGAAAUCUCCCAUCUUUUUCUUGAUCAGAAAGAGAUUGCUCAAAACCCUGUUGGCAUCCGGAGCUAUCUCAAUAGAGUGCUUCUCCAGAAGAUUCUCCACCUUGUUUUUUGAUUAGAGACAUCCACAGACGGUUGGCCAGAAAAGGGUGCAGAGGCAUGACCUGAAAGGGAAGCUGAGAAAACUAUCACAUAUCCUUUAACAGUUUGCAAGACACAAGUUUGCCCACUUUUGAGGGGGAGGUAGAAUGGGUGAUGAAGAAAAAGGACCCAGAGAGAGCAUGGCUCAACAAUUGUCUCUAUUACCACAAACCCUGCCUGAGCCCUGUAAAUACUGGAAACUGGCUCUGGAUUAGAUAGUCUGGAUAGAAGAGAAGAAUCUGGUGAGCACCUAUGGCAUUGAAGGACUAAAACAGCUGGAGGCUUGCCCCCACUGCCUUCAAGCCCCAAGCUAAAAAUCUUUCUGUUGGAUGGAACACCUUUAUCAGUGGCUUGAACUUUAUUCAAGGACAUGUACAAGGAAACUCUGAGCACCCGGGCCAAGUCCUUCAUUUCCCAAUUCACCCAGCUCUUUGUCCAAGCAUACCAGUACUCAGAGGAGAAGGCUACAUUUUUAGUUUCCCUAGAAGGCAAAUGGAGCAUUGCAGCCACUCGCUGACAAUUUGGGAAUCCAGUGAUAUGCUAGAAGAGUACUCUAUCAGCCACAUGUAGCAUUUUAUCUUGUACCGUCUUUAAGCCUUUUAAAAUUUCCUUACAGGGAAUCUCUGUAGCUCUUGGUCAUAAAGCUGGUCAAAAUUUGGCAUUUGGGCAGUUUAUCAGGAACAGAAGACUAUGGAUAUUUAAAAUGCAGCCAGUUAUAGACCUAAUUGUCCAAACACAGGCACACAACCUCUGCAAAAUGAUCUGGCAGGAAUAACUCAGCAGAUCUUGGAUUAAAGAUGGUGCGCAACUCAAACAUAGGAGUCCUGUAUGACCUCAGAGUUAAAAGUUGGAGCAUGGUUUGGAAUUGCCAGCAGCAGAGGUAUGGAGGGGGUUUACCUACUACAGUCUUGUGCACAACGUGAGUGUCCAGUGUAUAAACAUCAUCAGAGUGAAGAGUCAGUUUCCUUGGCUAAGGAAUAUAACAUGGCCCCAUUGAGCUUGGGCAGAGUCAGACCAGCAACUUUUCGCCCUAGACAUGCCCUUAACAUGGGGCUUAGAGUGUUUCUGUGCGUUAUGGUCACACAAUUUUGAGUCACGGGACCAACCUGAAUCAGAAAUAUACACAGCCAUAAUGGCUAUAAGGAGAAAAAUUAAUAAAACAAUCUGGAGGCAGGAGCAGCAAAGAAAGAGGAUGUGAGCUAAAAGGGGCUGCCUUAUACACCCUGUUCCAAAUUAUUAUGCAAAUUCUAUUUGUGUCACAAAGAUUAAAUAUUUUGUUUUUCAGUUUAACUCAUAGAUGGCAUUGUGUCUCAGGGCUCUUUUGAUCACUGAAAACAAUCUCGGACACCUGUGAUAAUUAGAUUGCCAGGUGAGCACAAUUUAAGAAAAAACUACUAAAGGAGGGUGUUCCACAUUAUUAAGCAAAACAUAAUUUUCAUGCUAUAUGGGGAAGAAAAAGGAUCUCUCUACUGCCCAAAAGAGUGAAAUAGUUCAAUGCCUAGAACGAGGUAUGAAAACAUUAGAUAUUUCACGAAAACUUAAGCGUGAUCAUCGCACUAUUAAGAGAUUUGUGGCUGACUCAAAGCACAGACGGGUUCGUGCAGAUAAAGGCACGUUGAGGAAGAUUUCUGCCUGCUCCAUGCAUCGGAUCAAGAGGUGUAAAGAUGACCUCUGCAAAGUAUGUGGAGUUUCUGACUGACCACUUUCUUCCCUGGUACAGAAGGAAGAACUAUGCUUUCCGUAAUAAAAUCAUCUUCAUGCAUGACAAUGCACCAUCUCAUGCUGCAAAGAAUACCUCUGCAUCAAUGGCUGCUAUGGGGAUAAAAGGACAGAAAGUCAUGGUGUGGCCUCCAUCCUCCCCUGACCUCAAUCCUAUUGAGAACCUUUGGAGAAUCCUCAAGCAAAAGAUCUAUGAGGAUGGGAGGCAGUUUACAUUCAAACAGCAGCUCUGGGAGGCUAUUCUGACAUCUUGCAAACAAAUUCAAGCAGAAACUGUCCAAAAACUCACAAGUUCAAUGGAUGCAAGACUUGUGAAGCUGCUAUUAAAUAAAGGGUCCUAUGUUAAAAUGAAACGUGACCUGUUAAAAAUUUUAAAAAGUUAAAAUGUUGUUAUAAGUUUGAUUGAAAUAGCUUUUGAUUUCAGUAAAUAUGCUGCAAACACAACAAAUGACAAUUUUCAGUUCUUUACAACCUAUAAAGUGUUUCGAAACUUACUGUGCGUAAUAAUUUGGAACAGUGCAUUGUAAGUUUUUUAUGUUUAAAGAAAAUACUGUUAUCAUUAGGC
rnacentral:lncRNA from 1 species